rnacentral:rRNA from 1 species
CAGGCUUAACACAUGCAAGUCGAGGGGCAGCAUGGUCUUAGCUUGCUAAGGCCGAUGGCGACCGGCGCACGGGUGAGUAACACGUAUCCAACCUGCCGUCUACUCUUGGACAGCCUUCUGAAAGGAAGAUUAAUACAAGAUGGCAUCAUGAGUCCGCAUGUUCACAUGAUUAAAGGUAUUCCGGUAGACGAUGGGGAUGCGUUCCAUUAGAUAGUAGGCGGGGUAACGGCCCACCUAGUCUUCGAUGGAUAGGGGUUCUGAGAGGAAGGUCCCCCACAUUGGAACUGAGACACGGUCCAAACUCCUACGGGAGGCAGCAGUGAGGAAUAUUGGUCAAUGGGCGAGAGCCUGAACCAGCCAAGUAGCGUGAAGGAUGACUGCCCUAUGGGUUGUAAACUUCUUUUAUAAAGGAAUAAAGUCGGGUAUGCAUACCCGUUUGCAUGUACUUUAUGAAUAAGGAUCGGCUAACUCCGUGCCAGCAGCCGCGGUAAUACGGAGGAUCCGAGCGUUAUCCGGAUUUAUUGGGUUUAAAGGGAGCGUAGAUGGAUGUUUAAGUCAGUUGUGAAAGUUUGCGGCUCAACCGUAAAAUUGCAGUUGAUACUGGAUAUCUUGAGUGCAGUUGAGGCAGGCGGAAUUCGUGGUGUAGCGGUGAAAUGCUUAGAUAUCACGAAGAACUCCGAUUGCGAAGGCAGCCUGCUAAGCUGCAACUGACAUUGAGGCUCGAAAGUGUGGGUAUCAAACAGGAUUAGAUACCCUGGUAGUCCACACGGUAAACGAUGAAUACUCGCUGUUUGCGAUAUACAGCAAGCGGCCAAGCGAAAGCGUUAAGUAUUCCACCUGGGGAGUACGCCGGCAACGGUGAAACUCAAAGGAAUUGACGGGGGCCCGCACAAGCGGAGGAACAUGUGGUUUAAUUCGAUGAUACGCGAGGAACCUUACCCGGGCUUAAAUUGCAGAUGAAUUACGGUGAAAGCCGUAAGCCGCAAGGCAUCUGUGAAGGUGCUGCAUGGUUGUCGUCAGCUCGUGCCGUGAGGUGUCGGCUUAAGUGCCAUAACGAGCGCAACCCUUGUUGUCAGUUACUAACAGGUUCCGCUGAGGACUCUGACAAGACUGCCAUCGUAAGAUGUGAGGAAGGUGGGGAUGACGUCAAAUCAGCACGGCCCUUACGUCCGGGGCUACACACGUGUUACAAUGGGGGGGUACAGAGGGCCGCUACCACGCGAGUGGAUGCCAAUCCCAAAAACCUCUCUCAGUUCGGACUGGAGUCUGCAACCCGACUCCACGAAGCUGGAUUCGCUAGUAAUCGCGCAUCAGCCACGGCGCGGUGAAUACGUUCCCGGGCCUUGUACACACCGCCCGUCAAGCCAUGGGAGCCGGGGGUACCUGAAGUGCGUAACCGCGAGGAGCGCCCUAGGGUAAAACUGGUGACUGGGGCUAA